rnacentral:tRNA from 1 species
UGUGAUGUAGCUCAGUGAUGGAGUGCUUGCCUAGUAUGCACGAGGCCCUGGGUUCAAACCCUAGUACCACAA